CGGACGGGUAAGUAAUGUCUGGGAAACUGCCUGAUGGAGGGGGGUAACUACUGGAAACGGUAGCUAAUACCGCAUAACGUCGCAAGACCAAAGAGGGGGACCUUCGGGCCUCUUGCCAUCGGAUGUGCCCAGAUGGGAUUAGCUAGUAGGUGGGGUAACGGCUCACCUAGGCGACGAUCCCUAGCUGGUCUGAGAGGAUGACCAGCCACACUGGAACUGAGACACGGUCCAG
rnacentral:rRNA from 1 species